AUACAUGCAAGUCGAGCGGACAGAUGGGAGCUUGCUCCCUGUAUGUUAGCGGCGGACGGGUGAGUAACACGUGGGUAACCUGCCUGUAAGACUGGGAUAACUCCGGGAAACCGGGGCUAAUACCGGAUGCUUGAUUGAACCGCAUGGUUCAAUUAUAAAAGGUGGCUUUUAGCUACCACUUACAGAUGGACCCGCGGCGCAUUAGCUAGUUGGUGAGGUAACGGCUCACCAAGGCAACGAUGCGUAGCCGACCUGAGAGGGUGAUCGGCCACACUGGGACUGAGACACGGCCCAGACUCCUACGGGAGGCAGCAGUAGGGAAUCUUCCGCAAUGGACGAAAGUCUGACGGAGCAACGCCGCGUGAGUGAUGAAGGUUUUCGGAUCGUAAAACUCUGUUGUUAGGGAAGAACAAGUACCGUUCGAAUAGGGCGGUACCUUGACGGUACCUAACCAGAAAGCCACGGCUAACUACGUGCCAGCAGCCGCGGUAAUACGUAGGUGGGCAAGCGUUGUCCGGAAUUAUUGGGCGUAAAGCGCGCGCAGGCGGUUUCUUAAGUCUGAUGUGAAAGCCCCCGGCUCAACCGGGGAGGGUCAUUGGAAACUGGGGAACUUGAGUGCAGAAGAGGAGAGU
rnacentral:rRNA from 1 species